UCAAGAUAAAUCUAAAUGAGAACACCAUUGUCGAGCAAUCUGCCGAACCUGUUGGUGCUGAAUGGGGAUUUGAUUUUUCUCCAUUUGAGUCAGUUGUUGAAGACCCUGAUAAUGACGGCAAGUCAUUCAAAAGCCCUAUUGACGUUAUCGGUUUUGUGGUGAAGUGUCUUCCGUCAGAGGAGAAGACUGAAAAUAAUAACGGGAAAGAUGAGAAGAAGGCUACCUUUAUUCUGGAGGAUUUGCAACACCAGCAGAUUUACGUUACUCUGUGGGGGGUUUA